rnacentral:rRNA from 1 species
AGAGUGAACGCUGGCGGCAGGCCUAACACAUGCAAGUCGAACGGCAGCACAGGGGAGCUUGCUCCCUGGGUGGCGAGUGGCGGACGGGUGAGGAAAACGUCGGAAUCCGCCUAUUUGUGGGGGAUAACGUAGGGAAACUUACGCUAAUACCGCAUACGACCUACGGGUGAAAGCGGAGGACCUUCGGGCUUCGCGCAGAUAGAUGAGCCGACGUCGGAUUAGCUAGUUGGCGGGGUAAAGCCCACAAGGCGACGAUCCGUAGCUGGUCUGGAGAGAUG